AACAGGAUUAGAUACCCUGGUAGUCCACGCCGUAAACGUUGGGCGCUAGAUGUGGGGGCCUUUCCACGGCUUCCGUGUCGCAGCUAACGCAUUAAGCGCCCCGCCUGGGGAGUACGGCCGCAAGGCUAAAACUCAAAGGAAUUGACGGGGGCCCGCACAAGCGGCGGAGCAUGCGGAUUAAUUCGAUGCAACGCGAAGAACCUUACCAAGGCUUGACAUACACGAGAACGGGCCAGAAAUGGUCAACUCUUUGGACACUCGUGAACAGGUGGUGCAUGGUUGUCGUCAGCUCGUGUCGUGAGAUGUUGGGUUAAGUCCCGCAACGAGCGCAACCCUCGUCCUAUGUUGCCAGCACGUCAUGGUGGGAACUCAUAAGAGACUGCCGGGGUCAACUCGGAGGAAGGUGGGGAUGAAGUCAAAUCAUCAUGCCCCUUAAGCCUUGGGCUUCACGCAUGCUACAAUGGCCGGUACAAAGGGCAGCAAUACCGUAAGGUGGAGCGAAUCCCAAAAAGCCGGUCUCAGUUCGGAUUGAGGUCUGCAACUCGACCUCAUGAAGUCGGAGUCGCUAGUAAUCGCAGAUCAGCAACGCUGCGGUGAAUACGUUCCCGGGCCUUGUACACACCGCCCGUCAAGUCAUGAAAGUCGGUAACACCCGAAGCCGGUGGCCCAACCCUCGUGGAGGGAGCCGUCGAAGGUGGGAUCGGUGAUUAGGACUAAGUCGUAACAAGGUAGCC
rnacentral:rRNA from 1 species